rnacentral:rRNA from 1 species
GAUGAACGCUGGCGGCGUGCCUAAUACAUGCAAGUCGAGCGAACAGACGAGGAGCUUGCUCCUCUGACGUUAGCGGCGGACGGGUGAGUAACACGUGGAUAACCUACCUAUAAGACUGGGAUAACUUCGGGAAACCGGAGCUAAUACCGGAUAAUAUAUUGAACCGCAUGGUUCAAUAGUGAAAGACGGUUUUGCUGUCACUUAUAGAUGGAUCCGCGCCGCAUUAGCUAGUUGGUAAGGUAACGGCUUACCAAGGCAACGAUGCGUAGCCGACCUGAGAGGGGAGUAGACACGCGUGGAGAUGGGCCGCGGUCCAGCCUCCACGGGAGGGGAGCGGGAGGGAAUUUUCGGCAAGGGGGGAGAGCAGACGGGGGCACGGCGGGGGGGGUAAUAAGGUUUUUGGGAGCUAAAACCUUUGUUAUAAGGGAAAAAAAAUUGUGAAAUAAACUUUGCACUUAUGGAGGGUCCCUAACAAGAAAGCCCCGACAAACUCCGGG